rnacentral:rRNA from 1 species
GACGAACGCUGGCGGCGUGCUUAACACAUGCAAGUCGAACGAAGUGGCGAACGGGUGAGUAACGCGUAAUCAACCUGCCCUUCAGAGGGGGACAACAGUUGAAAACGACUGCUAAUACCGCAUACUGAAGGAGGGGAUUGCGUCGGAUUAGCUAGUUGGAGGGGUAACGGGCCACCAAGGCGAGGAUCAGUAGCCGGUCUGGGAGGAUGAACCGGCAAAUUGGGAACGGGACACGGCCCAGACGUCUACGGGAGGCAGCAGUGGGGAAUCUUUCGGAAUGGACGGAAGUCUGACGGAGCAACGCCGCGGGGGUGAUGACAGGCUUCGGGUUGUAAAGCUCUGUUAAUCGGGACGCGGUACCGGAAUAGAAAGCCACGGCUAACUACGUGCCAGCAGCCGCGGUAAUAC